GUCCCAUUACCCUGUGCAGAUUGCACAGGCAAAUCUGUGAGGACACAUAUGCAUUAGGUCCCAUUACCCUGUGCAGAUUGCACAGGCAAAUCUGUGAGGACACAUAUGCAUUAGGUCCCAUUACCCUGUGCAGAUUGCACAGGCAAAUCUGUGAGGACACAUAUGCAUUAGGUCCCAUUACCCUGUGCAGAUUGCACAGGCAAAUCUGUGAGGACACAUAUGCAUUAGGUCCCAUUACCCUGUGCAGAUUGCACAGGCAAAUCUGUGAGGACACAUAUGCAUUAGGUCCCA